GCAGGCAGGCAACUGCAAUUACAUUACACAGAAAAAAAAAAGCAGACUGAUGUUCUAGCCCUAAAAAGGGCUUUUUGGGGUGCUGUCCUUACAGCAGAGAUCAGAUGAGUCCUUCAUGACUGUAGUGAACACUGUAUACCCUAACCUAGCUAUGCAUUUCCCUAUCUAAUCAACAGCAGCUACACUUUCCCUCCUCUCACUAAGCAUGCAGCUUGAGAAUGAAUGUAAAAUGGAUGCCUUCCAGUAGGUGGGAGGGUCUGCUAGGGGGGUGUGCUGCUAAUUGGCUGGAAUGUGUCUGCUGACUGUGAGGUACAGGGUCAAAGUUUACUCUAUGAUGAUGAAUAGGGGGCGGAUCGAACCGCGCAUAUGUUCGCCCGCUGUGGCGAACGCGAACAUGCUAUGUUCGCCAGGAACUAUUCGCCAGCGAACCGUUAGG